GAUCUACUGGCUUCGAGGGAAACACUGGUGGUGUCCAGCAUCGCUUGCACUCCAUGAGAGGAGCCUGGUGAAUGGGACUUGAAGCCACACAACGAGUGAGCCAAAUAAACUGCUGCAGACCUUGAGCAUUCCUCUCCUGUGACCCUGUGUAGGAAGAUGAUGGAAGAAUAAGAAAAAAAGACUGCUUCUGUAGAAAAGGCAGAGGAAAACCC
rnacentral:lncRNA from 1 species